CGAGCGAAGUUUGUGGGAGUCGCUCCGAGAAGUGAGCGGCGGACGGGUGAGCAACACGGGGGCAACCUGCCUAGGAGACUGGGAUAACUUCGGGAAACCGGAGCUAAUACCGGAUAACAUAUGAGACCACAUGGUCUCAUAUUAAAAGAUGGCUUUUAGCUAUCACUUAUAGAUGGGCCCGCGGCGCAUUAGCUAGUUGGUGAGGUAAUGGCUCACCAAGGCGACGAUGCGUAGCCGACCUGAGAGGGUGAUCGGCCACACUGGGACUGAGACACGGCCCAGACUCCUACGGGAGGCAGCAGUAGGGAAUCUUCCGCAAUGGACGAAAGUCUGACGGAGCAACGCCGCGUGAGCGAAGAAGGUCUUCGGAUCGUAAAGCUCUGUUGUUAGGGAAGAACAAGUACCGUUCAAAUAGGGCGGUACCUUGACGGUACCUAACCAGAAAGCCACGGCUAACUACGUGCCAGCAGCCGCGGUAAUACGUAGGUGGCAAGCGUUAUCCGGAAUUAUUGGGCGUAAAGCGCGCGCAGGCGGUCCUUUAAGUCUGAUGUGAAAGCCCACGGCUCAACCGUGGAGGGUCAUUGGAAACUGGGGGACUUGAGUGCAGAAGAGGAGAGCGGAAUUCCACGUGUAGCGGUGAAAUGCGUAGAGAUGUGGAGGAACACCAGUGGCGAAGGCGGCUCUCUGGUCUGUAACUGACGCUGAGGCGCGAAAGCGUGGGGAGCGAACAGGAUUAGAUACCCUGGUAGUCCACGCCGUAAACGAUGAGUGCUAAUUGUUAGAGGGUUUCCGCCCUUUAAUGCUGCAGCAAACGCAUUAAGCACUCCGCCUGGGGAGUACGGUCGCAAGACUGAAACUCAAAGGAAUUGACGGGGGCCCGCACAACCGGUGGAACCAUGUGGUUUAAUUCGAAACAACGCGAAAAACCUUACCAGGUCUUGACAUCCCUUGACAACUCUAAAAAAUAAAACUUUCCCCUUCCGGGGACACGUUGACAAGUGGUUUCCAUGGUUGUCCUCCACCUCCUUUUCCUGAAAAUUUUUUGGUUUAAUUCCCCCAACCAAACCCAACCCUUUAUUCUUAUUUUCCCACCAUUCAAUUUUGGCACCUCUAAAAUUAACUUUCCGCUUACAAACCCCAAAAAAAAAUUGGGGAAUUAAGAUCCAAAUCAUCCUUUCCCCCUUAUGGACCCCGGGCUACACACCCUGUCUCACAAUGGAUUGUUACAAAGAGGC
rnacentral:rRNA from 1 species